rnacentral:tRNA from 1 species
AUCUAAAUAGUUUAUUUAAAAUAUUAACUUGUGGCGUUAAUGAAAUCAUUAUUGGUUUUAGAUA